rnacentral:rRNA from 1 species
GACGAACGCUGGCGGCGUGCUUAGCACAUGCAAGUCGAACGGAAAGGCCCUGCUUUUGUGGGGUGCUCGAGUGGCGAACGGGUGAGUAACACGUGAGUAACCUGCCCUUGACUUUGGGGUAGCUUCAGGAAACUGGGGCUAAUACCGGAUAGGAGCUCCUGCUGCAUGGUGGGGGUUGGAAAGUUUCGGCGGUUGGGGAUGGACUCGCGGCUUAUCAGCUUGUUGGUGGGGUAGUGGCUUACCAAGGCUUUGACGGGUAGCCGGCCUGAGAGGGUGACCGGCCACAUUGGGACUGAGAUACGGCCCAGACUCCUACGGGAGGCAGCAGUGGGGAAUAUUGCACAAUGGGCGGAAGCCUGAUGCAGCAACGCCGCGUGCGGGAUGACGGCCUUCGGGUUGUAAACCGCUUUCGCCUGUGACGAAGCGUGAGUGACGGUAAUGGGUAAAGAAGCACCGGCUAACUACGUG